rnacentral:rRNA from 1 species
AACGAACGCUGGCGGCAUGCCUAACACAUGCAAGUCGAACGGGACCUUCGGGUCUAGUGGCGCACGUGUGCGUAACGCGGGGGAAGCUACCCUUAGGUACCGAAUAACUCCCCGUGGGGGGUGCUAAUACCGGAUAAUGUAUUCGGACCAAGGAUUUAUCGCUGUAGGAUGGGCGCGGGUUGGCUUAGCUGGUUGGUAGGGUAAAAGCCUACCAAGGCGACGAUGCAUGGCUGGUCUGAGAGGAUGAUAUGCCACACUGGGACUGAGGCACGGCCCAGAAUCGUACGCGACGGAGGGGUGGGUAAUACUAUAGGAUGGGCGAAAGCCUGAUCCAGCAAUGCCGCGUAAGUCAUGAAGGCCUUAGUGUUGUAAAGCUGUUUUACCCGGGGUGAUAGUGACAGUACCGGGUGAAUAAGCUCCGGCUAACUCCGUG